rnacentral:rRNA from 1 species
AUACGGAGGGUGCAAGCGUUAUUCGGAAUCACUGGGCGUAAAGGACGCGUAGGCGGGAAGCCAAGUCUGAUGAGAAAUCCUAUGGCUUAACCAUAGAACUGCAUUGGAAACUGGUUACCUAGAGUAUGGGAGGGGGAGAUGGAAUUAGUGGUGUAGGGGUAAAAUCCGUAGAUAUCACUAGGAAUACCGAAAGCGAAGGCGAUCUCCUGGAACAAUACUGACGCUAAGGCGUGAAAGCGUGGGGAGCAAACGGGAUUAGAUACCCCAGUAGUCC